AUGUCGGAAAUCAUCUUGGAAAACAAACCUAAGCUCAUCAAAUGGCUUAGUUUGGAUUAUAAAUUUGUUUUGCAACAUGUUCAAGCUAAAAAACUUAUAACACAGUCGCACUAUGAUGACUUGAUGGCCAUGAAGGCGAGCGACAGUAUCAUCAAACUUUUGGACAUCAUCCGUAGAAGAGGAGAAAAUGUGUGUCGAGAUUUUCUGGAUUUGCUAAAAGAUGAUGAUGUGAAUGAAAUAUCGCCGGAGCUAAGAGACUGGGUCAAAACAGUUGACUCAGAAGACCAGAAAACAGAAAAAUACAAAGGAAGAGCAAGUGUUAACAGACCUAAACAAGAAACUGCCAACAUGACAGGACAAUCACGCAUCCAAGUAAACAGCCAAAUCUCUGCAUCAGAUGGCAGCAGUGUAAUUUCGCCUACCAUAAUUGGUGGAAAUCUAGGGUCCUUUAUAAUGAAUACGACGGUUGCACCCUCUGGCAGAUCAGAUGUGCAGACAAAUUAUUAUCAGAAGUUUCUAAAAUAAAACACCAGUCUGCUGGUUCAACAAGUGAAGAACAUUGAUCCAAUUAUUGAUGAUCUCGACCUACAUGAUGAAUCCGUUGCAGUUGUGAGAGUGAAGCCAACAGAUCAAGAGAAGAUGAGGAAACUGCUUACCGAACUGCUGAACAGCUACUGAGUGUUGUAUUGUUUACCCACCAGAUUAGCAGCAUGUUAUUAAAGGAAAUGGAAUAUUGUACUGUCAAUGCCAACAAUAAAUUUUUUAAUGUUUUGAUAGUAAAAGUGAUA
ensembl:lncRNA